UAAUGAUUGCCAACAAUUUUGUAAUGGCGAUAAGAAAACAAGAUCAGUUUAUUUUAAAUCCGGUGUCAUACAUUUUGACCCCUAUAGAAUGGCUUUUAAACAACUGCAAUAAAGCCAACUCCUUCUCGUGCAUUCUCAUGUGCUGGGACAGAGACCCUGGACCCUGGGCCUUGAACUUGCAGAUUUUACAGCAGGUUUCCUUUGGAACGAAAAUCCUUGCUACAGAUGUCACAAUGAAACAUCCUGCCUCCCUUUAUAUGCAAAGAACGCAUGUGGUUAUCAAAGGGUGUCUUGCCAGACAAAGACCUGUUACACAGGCAGCAUUUAUACUUAUACUGGAAAAGCUUUUUAUGGUCAUGAAGCUGUGCUUUAAGACUGAAUAUCUUGUCACAAAAAUCACACGAAAACUUGUCUCUGUGAAUUAUGGCAUGAUUUUCUAAAGCCAAACUGGUUGGAAACUUCUUCUUGCACAUGGCACACUCAAAUGUUGGACCAACGUUAUGUGUGGCUUGAUGCUCCAGAAGAUCUGCUCUGCUCUCAAACUCUAGAACGCAUUCGGGACAUUUGUGAUUUCUUCCUUUAAAAUGACUUUUUAGGUGUUCGCUGAAUUCUGUGAACUCUUCAAAUGUUUCCGGACACAGAUCACACGGGAAACUGCCAGUGUCUUCCUCAUUGCUCAUAAUAGUAUUGUGAUGUGAAAAUGCUCUAUCAGACUGAAACAUAGCCAUAAAAGAUAAUGAUUGAGAUUCACAAUAUGUAUUGAGCUACAUGUACUUAUAUGGUCAAUACUGUUAUUUACUAUACAAACCAACAAAUAAAGCGUUAUAAAAAUCUUAAA